rnacentral:lncRNA from 1 species
AGUAAGGAUGUGGUCAGUCAGCCUCACUACUUAAGAGUGAUUUUCAAUGACUCCGUGCCCAGAAUUCCUUUAGAUUUCAUUUUGGCUAUUUAUUUAUGACAAUUUUUUUUUCUCUUUUUCAUGGGCACAUGACAGGACUACCCGCCCAGGAUCCUUUGCAGAUGGUCCCUCAGUGCCUGAAGGUUGGACGGCUCAGACAGAAACCUGACUGGUGAAACUUGAUGCUCCGGCAGCAAUUUGAGCGUAGAGGCCAAUGCUGCACUUUAAACGAGUCCAUUCUCCUCACAUCUUUUCUGUAGGCUUUUUCAGGAGCCUGAGCUGGAGCUGCAGCCUCAGUUUUGGUUUGAAUCUGGCCUUUGAUUGGCAGAACCUACAACCCUUGGCCCAGUAGCUUCAAAUGAAGUUCCCUGGCUUGGGAGACUGCAGCCAAACUCCCUAUUGCACAGAAAUACUGUCCCCGAGAGCACCCUUCCUGGAAGAGGAGGCUGACCCAUAGUGGGGACUUCACCCUCGACUUAGCUCUACCAAACUGAACAAACUUUUUGGCUUAAGUAUGAAGAGUUGAUGCAGCUCCCGGACUGUGCCUGUGGUGUUGCCAAAUUCCUGUCCCAGAGGCCGGAAGUUUUCUUGCAUGAGCCCGACUGGAAAGAAGGGCUGGUUUUAAGCUGAAAAUGAUGACCACUGUACCACACUUGGGGCACACGAGCUGAGCCUCCAUCUGUUCUGUUCUCCCUCAUCUCCCUCCCUUCUCCUCCCUUCUCUUUUUUUCCUUCCUCCCUCCCUCUCCCAUCUCUUUUACUGGCAGGUCUUCUCUGCUCUGAAGGCCAGAGAUUCCCACAUCGCCUUCCAGAGGGUCAAGAUGUACGAUUCCUCCUAAACCAGAAUUCUUUGCUGGUGAGGUUAGAAAAUGCCAGAGCCUAAGCGGGAGCUAUCCCUGGACUAGCCGAGUCUCCGAGCCUCCUCAAGGGGCCCAGCACGGGGCACUCUGGCUAGCUCUCCUCGCGGACAGGAGUGCAGUGGCACCCGUUGCGCACCCCAACUGCAAGUUUACUACUCCUGGUUCUUGCGGAAGUGUGAUUCCCACUUUGUUCCGGUGUGGCGGGCGUUCGCCCUUUCGUGCUAGCUAGGCCUUUGUGGACCUGAAAAGAUCCGAAGUCUCUCGGGACGCCUCCCACUGCACUAGUCGCGCCGCUGUCUCCUCCAGGCCCCAAGGUGUGGAGAUGCGUCCCCAGAGCCAUUGCACACUCUGGCCGGUACUCAACGCGCAGAAGCUGGAGUCUGUAGCACAAGCGGUCGCAGGCUCUGUCUGCCCCCACCCUCUUCCAGCCAAUGUGAAAAAAUGCGUGCGAACCCUUUCCCUCCACUCAGAGGACGCCGGACUGGGAAUAAAGUGCUAUUGAGGCCGG